UGGUGGGGUAACGGCCCACCAAGGCGACGAUCAGUAGCCGGACUGAGAGGUUGACCGGCCACAUUGGGACUGAGAUACGGCCCAGACUCCUACGGGAGGCAGCAGUAGGGAAUCUUCGGCAAUGGACGCAAGUCUGACCGAGCAACGCCGCGUGAGUGAAGAAGGUUUUCGGGUUGUAAACUUCUUUUAACAGGGAAGAGAAGAAGACGGUACCUGUUGAAUAAGCCACGGCUAACUAC
rnacentral:rRNA from 1 species